rnacentral:rRNA from 1 species
AGCGGCGGACUGGUGAGUAACGCGUGGGUAAUCUACCUUUGGCAUGGGGAUAGCCACUAGAAAUAGUGGGUAAUACCGAAUACGUUCCCUGGGGGGAGGUUUCAGGGAAGAAAGGGUGCUACGGCACCGGCCGGAGAUGAGCUCGCGUCCCAUUAGCUCGUUGGUGAGGUAACGGCCCACCAAGGCGAUGAUGGGUAGCCGGCCUGAGAGGGUGUACGGCCACACUGGGACUGAGAUACGGCCCAGACUCCUACGGGAGGCAGCAGCUAAGAAUAUUCCGCAAUGGACGAAAGUCUGACGGAGCGACGCCGCGUGGAUGAUGAAGGCCGAAAGGUUGUAAAGUCCUUUUGCUGGGGAAGAAUAAGUGUGGGAGGGAAUGCCCGCAUGAUGACAUGAACCGGCGAAUAAGCCCCGGCCAACUACGUGCCAGCAGCCGCGGUAACACGUAGGGGGCGAGCGUUGUUCGGAAUUACUGGGCGUAAAGGGCAUGUAGGCGGUCUGGUAAGCCUGGCGUGAAAGGCCACAGCUCAACUGUGGGAUUGCGUUGGGAACUGCUGGGCUUGAGUUAUGGAGAGGGAGCUAGAAUUCCUGGUGUAGGGGUGAAAUCUGUAGAUAUCAGGAAGAAUACCGAUGGCGAAGGCAAGCUCCUGGCCGAUGACUGACGCUGAGGUGCGAAAGUGUGGGGAUCAAACAGGAUUAGAUACCCUGGUAGUCCACACUGUAAACGAUGUGCACUAGGUGCUGGGGCGGUAGCUUCAGUGCCGGAGCGAACGUGGUAAGUGCACCGCCUGGGGAGUAUGCUCGCAAGGGUGAAACUCAAAGGAAUUGACGGGGCCCGCACAAGCGGUGGAGCAUGUGGUUUAAUUCGAUGGUACGCGAGGAACCUU